rnacentral:piRNA from 1 species
UUCUUGUGUGAACUUCGGGUGAGGCCUU